rnacentral:rRNA from 1 species
UUCCGGUUGAUCCUGCCGGACCUGACUGCUAUCGGAUUGAUACUAAGCCAUGUGAGCCAUUGCAGUAAUGCAAGGCAGACGGCUCAGUAACACGUAGUCAACCUACCCUAUAGACGGGGAUAACCUCGGGAAACUGAGGAUAAACCCCGAUAGAUCAUUAUGCCUGGAACGGUUUAUGGUCCAAAUGAUUCGUCGCUAUAGGAUGGGACUGCGGCCUAUCAGCUUGUUGGUGAGGUAAUGGCCCACCAAGGCUAUUACAGGUACGGGCUCUGAGAGGAGAAGCCCGGAGAUGGGUACUGAGACACGGACCCAGGUCCUAUGGGGCGCAGCAGGCGAGAAAACUUUGCAAUGUGCGCCAGCACGACAAGGUUAAUCCGAGUGAUUCCUGCUAAAGGAAUCUUUUGUUAGUUGUAAAACCACUGAUGAAUAAGGGGUGGGCAAGUUCUGGUGUCAGCCGCCGCGGUAAAACCAGCACCUCAAGUGGUCAGGAGGAUUAUUGGGCCUAAAGCAUCCGUAGCCUGCUCUGUAAGUUUUCGGUUAAAUCCAUCAGCUCAACUGAUGGGCCGCCGAAAAAACUGCAAAGCUAGGGAGUGGGAGAGGUAGACGGUACUCGAUAGGAAGGGGUAAAAUCCUUUGAUCUAUUGAUGGCCCCCUGUGGCGAAGGCGGUCUACCAGAACACGUUCGACGGUGAGGGAUGAAAGCUGGGGGAGCAAACCGGAUUAGAUACCCGGGUAGUCCCAGCUGUAAACGAUGCAGACUCGGUGAUGCCCUGUCUUGUGGACAGUGCAGUGCCGCAGGAAAGCCGUUAAGUUUGCCGCCUGGGAAGUACGUACGCAAGUAUGAAACUUAAAGGAAUUGGCCGGUGAGCACUCAACGGGGUGAAGCCUGCGGUCAAUUGGAAUCAACGCCGGUAAUCU